rnacentral:rRNA from 1 species
UGGGAAUUUGGACAAUGGGGCAACCUGAUCCAGCAAUGCCGCGUGUGUGAAGAAGGCCUUCGGGUUGUAAAGCACUUUUGUCCGGAAAGAAAACGUCGUGGUUAAUACCCGUGGCGGCUGACGGUACCGGAAGAAUAAGCACCGGCUAACUACGUGCCAGCAGCCGCGGUAAUACGUAGGGUGCAAGCGUUAAUCGGAAUUACUGGGCGUAAAGCGUGCGCAGGCGGUCCGCUAAGACAGAUGUGAAAUCCCCGGGCUUAACCUGGGAACUGCAUUUGUGACUGGCGGGCUAGAGUAUGGCAGAGGGGGGUAGAAUUCCACGUGUAGCAGUGAAAUGCGUAGAGAUGUGGAGGAAUACCGAUGGCGAAGGCAGCCCCCUGGGCCAAUACUGACGCUCAUGCACGAAAGCGUGGGGAGCAAACAGGAUUAGAUACCCUGGUAGUCCACGCCCUAAACGAUGUCAACUAGUUGUCGGGUCUCAUUGACUUGGUAACGUGCUAACGCGUGAAGUUGACCGCCUGGGAGU